UACGUAGGGUCCGAGCGUUUGUCCGGAAUUACUGGGCGUAAAGAGCUCGUAGGUGGUUUGUCGCGUUGUUCGUGAAAAACUCACAGCUUAACUGUGGGCGUGCGGGCGAUACGGGCAGACUUGAGUACUGCAGGGGAGACUGGAAUUCCUGGUGUAGCGGUGGAAUGCGCAGAUAUCAGGAGGAACACCGGUGGCGAAGGCGGGUCUCUGGGCAGUAACUGACGCUGAGGAGCGAAAGCGUGGGGGAGCGAACAGG
rnacentral:rRNA from 1 species